CGUUCACGUUCGAGUUCGAGUUCACAAGAACUGUAAACCGGGCUUAAAGUGGUGUUUUUUUGUUAUCAACAUUUCGAAUGAUUCGACGGAAUUCCAAAAUAUCAGGAUUAUCACGUUGCAUCAACUUUCGCUUAUCAUAACCCUGUCAGGAAGGUUUGCUCAAUCGGGCCGAUUGCAAAACAGACAUGGCGGUACUCGAAUUCUAGCGGUUAGAAUUCGGUUCGUUUUCGGCUCGAUUUCCAUCCGCCUGCUCGAUUGCUCGAAAACAGACGAUAUUUUUCGCAGUGCUGCGAUGAGCAAAACGAAACACGAGCAGUUUUCAAUCGCAGCAAUCCGGGUGCGUGUUUUGUUUUGGUGCGUUAUUGUUGUGAAAUGUGUUGUGGAAUUUGGUCGCAGUUCGGUUUCUGCUUUUUCCGUUGUUCCUGUUCAGAAAUGCUUUGAGCGCCGUAUAGAAGAAUCCAUUGUCCGGCGAUAAUUUAAUAAUAUGUAAGAAAAUAUCGGACCAUACGAACAAAGCUUCCAAGGAAAUGUCAACACGGUACGGGCGCUGGUGGAAUGUCAUCCUGGACAUCGUAUUAUGAUCCGGAUCCGGAUCCCAGACACGCUCAGAGGUGGUGGCUUCACUUUUAGAUCACUUAUAAUUAGUUUUUGCCGUGGUACUUCAUAGUGAAAAGCAAGAAAACAUCGACCCAUUGCAAACAAAGCUUCCAAGGAAAUGUACACACGGUAUGGGCUCUGGUGGAAUUUCAUCCCGGACAUCGUACCCGGAUCCGGAUCUCGGCUCAGAAGUGGAGGCUUAACUUGGAUUACUUUUAAUCAGUUACGGUGUGAUACUUCAAAGGGGAAAGCAAGUUUACAUAUUUAGUUCCUGAAACAGUUCCACAAAAAGGAUAACCCAAUCUAGAAGGAUUUGGCCAAAAGCAGCAGCAGUCGGAAGUUGAAAAAAACUCAGCGAGACCAUCGAUGGCGGAUACGCAAAGUAUGAUGGGGUGGAAUUCAAAGGAUUGGUGGUGGUGUCCAAGAAAGUCUCCACUUGCAAACAUCCAGCUGAUUCGGGAAACUUUUUCGUCCGUGCUAACAAAGAGACCACUUCGUACUCGGCAUCGAGCAGGAGGCUUAGACACUCAAAGCCGCUGAUGUGAUUUGAGCGAUGCUAAAUAUGUGAAGCUAGGGGUCUCAAAAGGUGCAUGUCUUGUCUGCAUUCAAUGAAGCAACUUCAAGGUUGGACUUGUCUACGUAAGAAGAUUUGCAUGGCUUAGGAGACUUAAUCAUUUUCAAAAAAAUGGUUGAAUUUCUGAAUUGGUGGAAUCACAACCACAAACUUGAACCACGACCUGAAGUACCUGAAAUGAACCGACUCAUCGAAUUACGUUAAAUAUUACUGCUCGUUUAGAGCGUUGGAACAACAAAGAACCGAUGAUGUUCUUCAAACCCAGUAAAAUGUGUGUGAUAACGGAUUGUAUGAGAGUGUCCUGCUUUGCGCAGUUAAAGCGGCUUUAUGUAUCGGAUAACGGCCGACAACAGUGACUGUUGAAGGUUUGCGAGUUGCCUGAAUGUCUUAUCGCGUGUCAGUCAGACAACUGUCCUAAUUUGUUUUAUCAGCAAUAUCAUGGGAAGAGUGAGCCCGCAUAAUCAAUUACAAUAUAUAGAGAAUAUUCUAUAUUGUCUCUAAACGUUAUCGUUUAUUGUAAAGUGAACAGUAUAUGUACAAUAACACAGACCAUAUUAACAAUCUGUAUUAUGAUUAUCUGUUAAAGUACCAUAUGGGGAAAGGGCUGUUAAGCAUGUUUACCAUUCAAAAAGAGCGAUUUUUUCGAACAAAUAUUUCAUGCUACAUUAUUGGAUACGGUUAAAAUAUCAUCCACUUUUGGCGAGCAAAACAAUCUACCUGAAUGUUCUAGCUACGUUGGAAUACAAAAUCAUAGAUUUGUUCAACUUCAAUGGAUAUAGUUUGCUUAUAGUAGUUUGUAGUAAAAAUAACGCUCAAUCAUACGUUCCGCAUAUUGUAAAAUAUUUUUAAAAAGAGCUUCCCUGUACCAUAACCAAUAUAGUUCCAAUUCUUUCCCACAAAAAAUAAAAUAAAAUUAAAAAAUUUAAAUGUUGAGAUUUUUAUUUUUUAUUUCUGAUAUUCCCAACAAACAUUUUUGCUGAUUAAAAACGCCAAUUCUCUGAUCGUAUGCUGUUUUGAGGUGCUGAUUGCUGUUUCAGCUUUCUUGCUGAAGAAAGAAAUAUUUCAGCGCUGUUUCAGCGUAUAAGGAAGUUUUAUUUCAGCCAAUAGAAAGUAGGGGAAAAUUGGCUGAAGAAUAACUCGUUCAGCCUUUGUCCAACCAUUUUUGACACCUUCAAAUUUGACAACCGUCAGCUGUACAAGGGUAGCUUCGAAAGCGUCUUUCAGCAAUAUCAAACUUUUUGUUAUUCAUGACGAAUCAACAUAAUUAUCUUGUGAAUCGUCUAAUGAUUCGAAAUUUCUCAUUUUGCAUGAUAAAAUGGCAUUGCCGGAAAAUUUACAUUUUAAUUCUCGUAGCCAUUUCAAUUUCUUCAUAUGAAAUUGACUUUGGUUGAGAAAUAUUUUGGUCGCUUAAGAGCGACACUUUUCUGUUCCUUCGCAGAAUGCAUGGUUGGUUCUGCCUUCUGCGGCAUGAGACCAACAAGUCGUAGGUUAAAAGUUCGAGACAAGUUCAAAUGAAGAAAAAAUAACACGAGAGGGGAAAAUUAGCUGGCAAACAUCGGACAUACAUCGGUCAGCAUUCUUUUUGUUUUUUUUUUGUUGCUCCGUCAAUUGACGUUUCAUGUGGUUUCAUGUCAUCUUCGCUGAUUAAUUUCUCCAGAUCUCGAUGUUUAAGGGCUGAACAGCAGCUUCUCUCUGAAUUUGGGUUGCCUUCUUUCAGCAAGAUAGCUGAUUUAAAAUUAGAACUAAACAAUGUUUCAGCGGUUGUUCAGCAAAAAAUGUUUGUUGGGUUAUACAUGGAUUAUACAAUCUUACCUAUUUGUGCAGAUCUGCAUUGUUCAGCCUUUCAGUAGAUUUUUUUCCGCUCUCCGCUCAGCAGAGAUCUUUGUUUCUGUAAUUUCAUUAGUUUUAUUUAAUCUCACUAGUUUUUAUCGAUAAUAUAAUAUAGUUUUACUUACUUUUCGCGUUCUGUGUGUUUUUCUCAGCGUGAUUCUUUUUUUUCGGAGCCAUUUUGAACACAGUUUUCAGUUCCGAACCUGGCGUGGGGUUGCCGACACAAAUUUUAACGAAGUGAAGUGAAAAUUAGCAGAUGCUGAACCCAAGAGCGAAAAAAUGCAUAAGCUCACAACUACAUCUUAAAAUAACAAUAUUAGUUAUUAUCCGCAAGAGGUGAAAUGAUAACGACUUGUCUAACUCAUACAAUGUUGUCAAUGUUGUUUUUUUUUUAAUUUAAUGUCUAAUGCUAAGAAAAUAUAAGGAAACUUUGUCGUACACUGUUAGAGUCCUGGAUAAGGUCCAGAGACAAUAUUCAAAGGUUGCAAAUUUUUAUUCUCUUAUUAUACUAUACUUACUAAAUCAUAUAUCAUAUUGUCACUGUCACUGAUACGAUCCUGUCAUAAUUUAUUGAGGUAAUAAAAUUUUGAACAUGUAUAAUGAAAUGAUACUUGGAAGAUAUUUCAUACUGGUACUGCUACCAAUAUAUUAAGUUAAUAGUUAGUACUAUAUCCCCAACUGUUUUUAAUUAUGCGGGAGUAUCACUGAGUUCAAAGUGUUAGGAAAACAAACAUCAAUUCAACACUACAAACCUUGAAAGGUUGAAAAAUAUAAUAUAUUGAUCAUUUCAUCGUGUCUUCUUAAUUUACAGGUCAAUUGUAUUUUCUGCCCUCCAGUCAGCGGAUCGGGCAUUUCAUAAAUGGCUGUUGUUAGCCUGUGUAGAUCUGGAGCUGACGAACCAAUUAUUAACAGGAAAUACCGCAUGAUAUUCUAACGAUUCCGUUAGCGGUCGUUUUAGAAUACCACGAAUAACGGCACAUUUUAAGGAAUUCAGUACAGAAUCGGUCAGCGGUUGAUUUUUGCCACGGAUUUUUUCAGAACCUAGAUUUCGUGGUUGCAAAGAUUAUAUCGCACAGGCGGUAAAGAACAUAACGGGACCAUUGGACCGUUAUAGCGUUACCGUUCCUCCACAACACAUCAAACACAACGUGGUAGAAAAUAUUCCGGCCCCAACAAGGGCCGCCAUUCCCUCGGUGGCUGCGUCAACAAUUUCUGGUAUAGAAAACAUCUCCCCACCAGCCGGUCAUCCAUUAACGAUUAAUACUAAACGACGAAGAACCGAAUAAAGGACAUUCGUGUUCCUUUCUACAUUCUAUAGAAUAUUCACAAACUGCGCUUCGAAGGUCCCACCUAAGAAAAACCCUUGUAUUUCUUUUCAUGUCACCUUCUGUUGAUGACGAAUGAGCUUCGAAUUAGGUAAACUCGAACAACCCUCAAGCCAUCUCCUCACAACAUUGGUCCUCGAAGAUGGUUUCGCAUGAUGUGGUUGUCAUCCCGAAGACUUUAUCAACACCUGAAAACAGACGAAUCGCUGAAAAAAUAAGCUUGUAUUGUAUUUAAUAUAAGCUAUGAUUUAAAAUAUAAAUUAGAAGAAAAAAAACCAGAAAAAUAAAAGAAAAACAAAUGAAAUAAUUUCUAGCUUUUUGUUCAAAACCGAAAAACCUGAAUGAAUGGCAACCAUGGUAAUCGGCCCAGAAACGGUUUGAAAAACCGUUCGGUUUCGGUCCGAAAUCGGUCCUUUCUUUCGGAUGUACGCCAUCGCAAUCGGUCCGGAAACGGCUCGAAAAAUCAUUCGGUUUCGGUCCGAAAUCGGCCCGUUUUUUCGGAUGGACACCAUGGCAAUCGGCCCGGAAACGGUUCAAAAAAUAUUUCGGUUUCGGUCCGAAAUCGGUCCUUUAUUUCGGAGGGACGAUGGCAAUCGGCCCAAAAACGGUUCGAAAACCGUUCAGAUUCGGUUGGAAAACGGUUGGCUUGUUUUGACAUUUGAUCUGCUCGAACUGGUUGAGAAAACUUAUCGUCGUCCGAAAAAGUGUUUCAUUUUCGCACGAUUUUCUACUAAAGUCGGCCCGAUUUCUUAUACGAUUUCGGACCGAUCGAGCAGAUG